CAAAGAAAGUAGUUUUGAAAUGACCAAUUUGUUUUUCAUUAUUUCUGCUUUUUAUCAUCCAUCUUCUGUCUAUAACACAAACUACCUGAACAUGUGUCAUAUUUUGAAGAAUGAAAUAUUGCCAAUGCUCGAACUAAAAAGAAGAUCAACUGAAGGAGAUUUUUAAAUUGUUGUAAUUUUUGUCUUUUGGCAGGUGUUAAUAAAUAGUCAAAUGGAAGUCACUGGAAAUCUUUCUAAUCCUUUGGAGGUGUUUAUGAAGAAAAUACUGAGGACUAGGAAAUAGGCACCUGGAUUGACUCCUGGAUGGGAAUCAAAGUAUAUGACCAUCUCACUUUCUUCAUUGGUCCCUUUGGCGUGGCGACUGGAUUUAAAACAUGUACAGUAAGUUCUCCAGCUACAGCUUCUGUGGCAUCGAUUCUGUUCUCUCCCCAGCGUCUCUUGUUACACAGUUUUAGGUCUUCCCUGAGUCCUCUUUCUUCAUUUUCCAUCCUGCCUCCUCCUCUGGGCUGCACUGUGUAAAGUGCUCCCUCGCUGUCUCAGGUCAGCUGCUCAACCUCUCCAUAGAAUAUUGUUAAUUUCAAAGGUACCGCUUGUUUAUUUCUAGAAGUUCUAUUGACUUGAUAUUCAGUGUGCCUGUUCUUUUCUCAUAGUGUCUUAUGAUUCUUAUUAUUUUGUUUAUAUUACUGAGAUUUUAAACACACUUAUCUUCUUUCACUGUCAUUUUUCUAUUAUGCAGUGUAUUGGCAUAUUGAUCCUGCUGUUCGUUGUGUGUGAUCAAUCUGGUUUAUACUGUAUAUUCUCUCUCUCUCUCUCUCUCUCUGUCUCUCUGUCUCUCUCUCUCUCUCUCUCUCUCUCUCUGUCUCUCUCUCUCUCUCUCUUGUGUGUGUGCGUGUGUGUUCCAAUUUGGAUUGCCAUUUCGAGUAGAAUUUUAUCAGAAUUUCAUUUCUGCAAAUCCUGAGUGGCCUGGGCUAAGGUUAGGUCUUUCCAGAGGGGAUUUUGCAGUUUCCAAGAAUCUCUCCCUGGGAGCAAUUAUUUUGGUAAUUUUUCAGUGUUGGAGUACCAGACCCUGCAAGUAAAGGGCAGGGCCAUGGUAACAAAUUCUCAAAGGAGACUUCCCUUCUUUUAAACCUGUGCUAAUGAGCAGUUGUCUUUGAAUCUAAUAUUUGAUGAAAAAUGAAAUCUAUAUUAGUUUUCCAUUGCUGCUGUGUAAAUUUAAAAAUGUAUGGCUUCAAACAAAACAAAUUUGAAGGAAAGAAAGAGAAAGGGAAGGGGAGGGAAAGGGAACUGGAAAGCCAAAGGAAAGGGAGAGAGAGAGGAAAAAAAGAUGGUAGGAAGGAGACCCACAGACAAAAAAACAAACAUAAAUUUAUUAUUUCAAACGCUAUAGGUCAGAUGUCCAAAGAUGUGUCUCAGUGAGCUAAAACCAAGACAUCUAGAGGCCUGGCUGAUUCUGGAGGCUCUGGGGGGAAAUCCAGAGUCCUCUCUACCCGGGAGACUGUCCACGCUCCUAGACUGACCGCUCUGUCACUGGGGUUAGGGCGAAAGUCUUGUCUCUGGUGAGUCCCAGGGGACCAGGCUCAGCCACCAGGCCCAGAGAACCAGGCAGAAAAAAGGUUGGUAGAGGCAGGAAAGGAGCUUUAUUCUCCACAUGACCAAGCAGGGAUGGACAGUGUGCUAGUGACUUGCGAUCUGUCUUCAGAAGUGCUUGUGGCAAUCACAGAGUUGUGUAGGGAAAAAGAUGAGAGCCAGCAGUCGGGGUCUUCUUGAUGUGGCUGUGGUCUGGGGAUGAUCGCCUCAGGCCGGUGCAGAGCUCUGUUGGCAUCAGGAAGCCGCUGUAGCUUGGGGAAUGGUUCUGGUUCUUUGUCAUAAGAUGCUCUGCCGUUGGACAUGAUCCUGGGAUCCACAGUGACUGCAGAGAUGACGAUGCGAGGGAUCAGAAGGGGGCAAAAGAUCAAAAGGUAAGUGGAGUCAGAGAAACAAACAGGACUCAGGUCAGGCACUGGGCCCCUUCCUUUAGGGCCCCUUCAAAGCCAACAGUGAUGAGUUCAUUCUUUCUCACAUCGAAUUACUCGGACCUCUUUUGCCUUCUUCUUCCACUUUCAAGUGGACCUUUGUGGGGACAUCGGUACCACAGGAAUAACCCAGGUAACCUCAUUAUUACCUGGUCAGCUGGUGAGUGACCUUCCUUCUGUCCUCCACCUCAUUCCACUCUGCCUUGUGGUAACAUGGUCGCGGGUUCUAGAGAUUAGGCAAUGCGCAUCCCUCGGGAGCCGUUAUCCUGCUCCCCGUUAUCACACACAGCCCUUCGAGGGCAAAAGUGUGGGUAAGGAGCUUAGCUGUAACUUGCAAUCUUUUAGUAGUUGCCGGCCUCAAGGUAUUAAAACAUGACUCCAUGCAUUACAAAGCCAAAAACUUCAUCCUGUCCAGGAAAGCUGAUACACUUUUUCAUUAAGUUUCUUUUUUUUUUUCUUUUAUUGGGAAUUUCUUGUUCUUUUUUCACAAGCUCAGCUGUGAUUUAAAAGCAUACUUAUUAUGCUUACCUGGAGUUUCUAGGAGUUUGUAGUGUGAACAUUUAGACUCAUGAAGCUAACAAUAUGGCCAGAAAAAUAAAUCUCUGUUGUAAGUAUAUUUGUCCAAAAAAUAUAAAUAAUGGCCUGUUGUAGUCAGGGGUUGUACACAGAAAACAAUUCAGAUCGGGACAUGGAGUUUAUAAUAUUUUUAUAAUGGUCACCGGGAGUUAACACAAGAAAAUGCAGGAAAUCUAUCUGCAACACCAAAGACAUAGAUUAUUUAGUCAAGAGCCUAAACCCCAAAGCCCAAUGUCCCACGUGAGUCCAGAUAAAAACCCAGAGCUCAAGACAAUGACUCCCAUGAGUCCAACUGUAUGUCCAGAGCCCACAAGAAGGACUCACGCCAGUCUCUUUUACAGAUCCAUGCCGGGAAGACCCAAGGGUCAGCGGUGGAAGCCAGAAAGUCUGUGCCAGCAGGAUGAAGGAGCUGUGCUGGUGGGAUGAGGGUUCUACGCUGGAGCCGAGAAGUCACACUCACAACAAAGACCAGGACUGUCCUGAAAGGCACCACAGCUGUCCUCAGCGACACGGAGGCCCCAAACUCCUCCCACGACAAGCACAGUCAGCCUAAGCACAGGAUUUCAACCUGCGAUAAGGAUUAAAGAAGCAAUAAAACCGAUCACACAGCACGUGGCGGUCAUGUCCCUCCUUUCCUCACGUGGCUUUUCUCAUAUGAGUGAAGCCUGUGUGACUUGAGGGACCGAUACUGAACUGUGUCCUCCACUCCAGAUCUAAAGUCAUUGCUAGUGUUUGGGCAUCCCUGAGAAUUCACAUGCUGCCAGUAUGAUCUCCAAAAUGACAACAGUAGUGCCUCAAGGAAGGAAGAUAUUAACACGAAAAUACAGAGUGCUAAGGACCGAACCAGCAGGACGGGAGAUGUUAGAGGUCAAGCAGAGGACAAGAAGACUGCAAGGCACUAAGCACAACUGCUCCCCAUAUAACUCUGGUAUUCAUUCUGGAAUACCUGAACCCAGCACCGGCUGCGGUCAGAGACCUGAACGCCUCUGCUUCCAGAGGGAGAGAAGAGUCCAAGUUGUUUUGCAUACCAGGAGGAACUGCAGUGUUCAGAGGCCCAGUGUUGGUCAUUUUCUCACUGCUGAGAACAAUGUCUAACCCCCACAAUUUAAAGGAGGACAGGUUUACGGGUCCACUGGUUUAAGGCAGAAGCAUCAGGGGGAAGGGUCUGCCCCAGAGGAAAGCCAUUAUUGUCAUGGCAACGAGGUAGCAGAGAGGGAGGAGCUAAUUUGAUGAUGUGCCCUCUGGGUCACAAUCCCAGCGAAUCACCUCCAACCAGGUCCCACUCCCCAACCAAGUCAGCCAUAGUACCCUCAUGAACCAGUCACCUAAACACAUGAGACUUUGGGGGACAUUUCAGAUCCAAACCAUAACAGUCCUCCAAAUCAAGCCUGUUACCCACAUUCAUUAAAUAUAUGGGUUAAGUGCAGACUCUAAAAGUUGCACUUAACAAAGUUAAACUUUAUUUUCUUUAUGCAAUUUAACUUUGCUUUGGGUGUAAGGUAGGAUUAUGAAGAAAACUGUCUUUAAAGUUACAUGAGUACCCAUGUUUAUAACAGCACAAUUUGUAAUAGCUAAAUUUUGGAAGCAGCUUAUAAGUUUAUCGACAGAUAAAUGGACAGAGAAAAUGUGGUAUUUACACACAGUACAGUACUACUUUAUCAUAAAGAGAGGUAAACCAGUCAUUUGUAGGAAAAUGAGUGUGUCUUGAGACCAUAAUGUUAACCGGAGUAAAUCAGACACAGAAGCUUAAAUAUCACAUGGUUUCCCUUAGAGGAGAAACUCAAAGUACAAAUUAGGAGCAAAAUAAAAGAUAGAUAACAGGUGGUGGUGGUGGGAGGCCAGGGGAAUAUUUUUCAAGUUAUUUGCUUUGGGAGACUAUGGAUUUAUGCUAUCAGAGAUGUUAUUGCACAAGGCAUUCUUAAAACUAUUUUGAAUUUGCCUUAUGUAAUCUAUUAACAGGUGAUUUCUUACUGUUUUUUUUUUGUAGUUCUGUAUUACGUGUACCCUUACACCACUUUGUUUUGUUUUGUGUUUUUCUCUUUUUCCUUUUAAAUAAAAUUUUUUAAAAAAGUUUGAUAAGAUCAAAACCCCAUGUAUUUUAAGAGUAAAUUUGAAUUUUGAAACAGCCUAGGUUGUCACUGAGAGGGAAGCUUGAUGAAAAAGGGAACAGUAAUCACUACAUUAUUAAUAUUUUACAUCCAGUACUUACUGAGGUGACAAUAUUGGGCAUAUGAUAGGUUAAAUAUAAUGUAUUUUUAAAGUUAAUUUGACCUGGUCUUUUACUUUUUUAACAUGUCUGCUAGAACAAUUAAAACUGCUACCUGUGUUCUUCAUGUCAUGUAACUAUUGUGCAGUGCUAGCAUAUGCAAUUAUAAUUGCAUAUACAAGAAGUUAUUUAUGCAUAAAGAAUACCUGGAAAAUAUUUUUAAUAUUUAUCAAUAAAACUUUGCAAA